GACGAACGCUGGCGGCGUGCUUAACACAUGCAAGUCGAACGGAAAGGCCCCUUUGGGGGUACUCGAGUGGCGAACGGGUGAGUAACACGUGAGUAACCUGCCCUUGACUUCGGGAUAACUUCAGGAAACUGGGGCUAAUACCGGAUAGGAAUCCUUGCUGCAUGGUGGGGGUUGGAAAGCUUUGGCGGUUUUGGAUGGACUCGCGGCGUAUCAGCUUGUUGGUGGGGUAGUGGCUUACCAGGGCUUUGACGGGUAGCCGGCCUGAGAGGGCGAGCGGCCACAUUGGGACUGUGACACGGCCCAGACUCCUACGGGAGGCAGCAGUGGGGAAUAUUGCACAAGGGGCGGAAGCCUGAUGCAGCACCGCCGCGUGCGGGAUAACGGACUUGGGGUUGUAAACCGCUUUCAGCAGGGGCGAAGCUUGUGGUGACGGUACCUGCAGAAGAAGCACCGGCUAACUACGUG
rnacentral:rRNA from 1 species